AGAGUAUAGUUGAUUUACAGUGUUGUGCCAAUUUCUGCUGUAUUGCACCUCAGUUUUUUAUCCAUUAAAUGGGAUGGCUGACCGUGGUCCUGCCUGGUUAGAGGGCUGAGAGGUGCGUGAAGCAGAAUACUAACUCAGUGGAGGAGCAUGGGCUUCGAUGCAAUCUUUGAUGUGGCUAUUGGUUAACAUUUGUGGUUUAAGGGCUCCAGAGAACAAGAUCCCCACAGGCCUUGUUUACUACAGGAAGCGUAUCUAUGCCCACAUGGACCUUAAUCUCUAACCCACUUCUCAGCUGAUAGAAAAGAAAUGAGAGGAAUGGUGACUCAGUCUAAGGGAAGAGAAAGGCAAAGAAAUCAUAAAACUUACGGGACAUUUCCACCCCUAAAACCCCUAUUGGACAAGGACUGAUAGAGGUAACUGGGCAAGGCCAAUGGGAGAAAAACCUCAUCCUUCUGGACCCCACGUUGGUAACCCCCAUCUUUAAGGGAUAAAAACCCCUACGGGACAAUGGAAAAGGAGACUCUUUUUCCUGCUCUCAGUAGCCCAGGGAGCUAUUUGCUUUCCUGUAAUAAAGACUUUACUUGCUUGCUGCCUGUGUGUUGGCAGAGUUCAUUCUUCGACUGCAUGGACAAGAACCCGGAUUCCGGUAACAUCUUUCCAGAAUAGAGUUUUCACCCCCCACCCCCAGCCCUGAGGGCAGCUUUGGCUGCUGAGGUCCCAGAAGCACGGCUAAGGCUCAGGCCGCUCCCCCCUCCCUGAGAGGCCCUUGGUGGCCCGCAGCCAGGACCUCAGGGACAUUUCUAGUUUGGCAAACUAAGCUGGUUCUUUUAACCUCAGGUGUCCCUGAAGGAAACUCAGAAAAAGAAACCCUGAUUUACUAAGGCCUCGCUUAAGAUCAGAACUUAAGUCUAGAGAUAAGCGCUCCUCCAAGCCCUGCCCUCACCUCCGGAGCGCACUCCUCUGACCAAAAACUUCCCUCAACCUUUGCUUCCAGAGGUUCCUCCUCAGCCCCUUCCUCCUCCGAGAUGCUCCAGCCUCUGCUGCCUCCGCGUCUGCCCCUUCAGCCCUCCUCACCGCCUUCAGAGAGUCUCUCCCUCAAAUGCUUGCAUCUCUUCCUCCGUGCUGCUCAGGCCUCUGAAGCCUGUAGCCAGAGCUUAACCCUGACGACACUUGUCCUUUAGCCACAGAAACUGUAACCGAGGAGGGACCUGUGGGGAUCCCGGCACACAAGGCUUUCUGUGUCCUCCAUUGCUUGUUUUUAGGGACUAAGCCUCAGCCUCCAUGACCUUCCCUGAGUUCCAAAGGACAGCUGCUAAUCAGGGAAGGGAGGGUAUGCAGAGACCUGGGAGGAGCAGUCAAGAGACAACAUCCUGGUUCCUCCUUAAGGAAUAUGCAUAACAGUAUCUUUGAGCCCUUCUGCAGAACUAAAAACCCCAACACAUGGAAGAAUAGCUUGAUGAAACAUUAUUCAUUCAGGAAGGAGGACCUCCAGAACCAGUCCUGGGACCGCUAAACACCAGCUUUGAAAAAUAAUGCAAAUUUGCCUCUACCCUGAUCCUUACCUAAGGCCCUAUUUUCCACUCGCCAAACUAUAAAAACACCUCCUAAUCCCUUCCAAGGGGGGCACAGUCUUUAAGGCAUUAGCCUGUGUGGCCCCCUUUGCCUGGCAAAGCAGUAAAACCAUCUUUUUCUCCUGCACCCAAAACUCGGUCUCUGUGUUUCUAUUUGGCAGCGGUGGACAGAGGCUGAGUUUGAGCAACAAGGGAAUCCAUUCACCCACUCACAUACUUCUUGUAAAGCACAGCACCAAGGUGUUUGAGUAUUUCAGGAAAGUGCCAUCCCUCCCUGUUUUCAGGAGUCUGUUCUACCUGAGUCUGUCCCUGCCAGGUCACUUCCCCAUGGAACUUGGUUGGGCUCCGGCCCCAAGCCUUCGAAGCCUGCACACUGGUCUCCUCUCAGGGUCCUGAGCUGGGGCUACGGCUGCAGCUGCUCCCACGGCGUGACCUCAGGAUUCCCUGGCAGGACUCCCUGUUCCCAUCCAGCUGUGGCUCCUGUCAGUCUGUCACCAGCUGUCGCCCCAUCUUCCCUGCCCCUCUGCCCCAUCACCCCACCCAGUUCAUUACUCUCGGACCUUUUCUGCUUUUCACCCUCCACUGAUUCACAGCGGGUUCCAAUUAAUUUUAAACGGUCACCAAUUUUCCUCAAGCCUCAGGCAAUAAUGGAGAUUUAGGUCUAAAUUAAAAUUUGCUAAUUUAGAAACAUUUGCCCACUAAUCGCUGCUGAAGCACUAUCGCUUGGCUGGCCUGCCACUUAGUGCUGUCCUGUCUUCUCUGGGUCUCUGGAGGGGUUUACCCGGUGGUCCCCUACCCAGGAGAUUGUGCCCCCGAGGGGACAAAAGUCUGGCUGCACUUUUGGUUGUUACUAUUCGGGAAGGGAAGUGCUACUGGUGUGAAUGGGUAGAAGCCAGGGAUGCUGCUAAACAUCCUAAAACGCAUGGGCCUGUCUCCCACCAAGAAGUAUUAUCUGGCCCAGAAUAUCCAUAAUGCUGAGGCUAAGAAACCCCGGAUCUAGAACAUGCCAGGCUCCUUCUCCAGAUACCUUUCCUUGCAUGGCCCUACAUUCUCAAGAGCUGGCCUUGAGGCUUUUGUUUCUUUGGAUAUAGAAAUUUAGAAGUGCAAAAUGAUCUCCUUAGAUGUUCCAGAUCUGUUUUCUUUGGCCCUAUAGUUUGUUUUAAUGCAUCUGGUAUUUAAAAUUGGGAGAUUUUGCAAGAAAAUCUGGAUUUACAGCUUGUCCUGAAAACUAGAAGAUGCGUUAACACUGGUUCUCAGUUCCUCGGUGGCAUUAAUCAGUGGCAUGAGCAGCAGCUCCCCACAGCCUUUCACAUGGGUCAUUACUUGGCCAGUAUACCUCAGUCUCCACCACUCCCUAUUGUCUCUGACCUUGAGUGUCAAUGGCCAUUUAUUAUUGUGCUUGCUCUGCUGUUUUCUCUCAUGGCAGAGAAACACGUCUGUCCCACACCUCAACCAAAAGUGGGAAAGCAAAAGGUGGACUGAGCCGGCACCUGGAGCCCUCAGUCAUUUUUAUUACCCACUCUACUGGUGGGCUUUUGUGCAAUUCCUGCUCCAGAUGGACCAUUGCCGGGGCAAGUGACUGGACCUUGUGACCCUAGAGUGCCUCCUGCAGAGUCCUAAGGGGAGGUGGGUGAAAGGUAAAUCUUGUGCUCUUUCCCAGUUCCAAAUUUCCUGCUGGGAAACGGGGCUCCUGAGGAUUGGGGUUCCCAGGGGAUCCACAUCAAACAAAUGCUCCCCACUGAACUGCAAAAGAGAGGUGAGGGGUGGGUCUCAGUCACAUAGUCCGAGGGAGCCUGGUCCUCAUCCCACCUUCUAACACAGGGCUGAUGAACUAUGGCCUACACACUUGCUGCCUCUUUUAUGAAUAAAGUUUUAUUGGUACAUUUACCUGUUAUCUGUACUUGUAACAGAUACUAGAGAGCCUGGAAAUCUAAAAUAUUAUUGUCUGUUCCUUCACAGAAUAAGUUUGCAGACCCCACCCUGACAUAGAAGCAUGUCUCAUUUGUAUACAGUUUGCAAUUUACAAAGCACUUUUUAAAUCCUCCCAACCAUGGGAAGGUGUGGGCAGAGCUAGGAUUGUCGAAGAUACCAAUAAAUGGUACCUUUGAGCAAUGGCUGGGUGCCCAACGCUGAGCUCUGCUCUUUCACAGGUAUUUCCUCACGGUAGCCUUGUGAAGUCAUUAUUUUAACUUUACAGAUGAUGCAACAGAAGCUCAGAGAGGUGAGGUGACAGAUCCAAGGUCACCCUCAAGCCUGUGCAGCUCCACGCCAGGCAUCUCUAUUCUCCAGCUUGCUCUGUUGCAACAGUCAGUUGUGACCUUGACCCUUUGUGUGCUAUGCUGGUGGGUUCCUGCCAUGGCGCUCCCAGGCAGCCUUCCUGCACAGUUGCUGGAGCUGCAGCCAUCACUCUCCCGCUGCUCACACUAGCAAACUACCUGGGAGUAAAGAACUGUUGCAUUAGGGCUAGUUCACUGUAGUUCAUUCUUUCCCCUCUCCCCAAAUUGCCAAAGGUCGGACUGCUCCAUGGACUACUGGGCAACUUCCCCUUGAGCCAGAGAGCUACCCGUUCCGAACUAGUGCUGCCAGGUGGGAACAGAUGCUCUGAACACCAAGCCAAGCUCCCUCCUAACCCUGAUGGCUGGUGAUGCCAGGAUGAGACAGCCAGAGACCUGGGGGUGGUUAAAAAGAGGACAAAGGGAGGGGGUCUAAGUUGAGGGGAGCAUAGCCCAAUGACGCAGCAGGGACGAGGGCCAGGAAUCAGGGCAAAUGUAAAAAGCAACCGUGUGUUUCAUUGCAAGCUGCCUGGUGGUCUGUGAAGGGUAAUAGAUGCAAAGCUUCAAGGAGUUGUAAUCUGGCCGGAUAGGACAGGCCACAUGGAACCAGCGCACCUUGGAGGAGUAAUUUAUGCCACAUUAACUCCGAGCAGUUGGGCCUCCGUGUGCACCCAUGUGUGUCUAGGCAUCUGUGUUUUGUGUGAGCAAGCAGGGCUGACCAAGCCCCCUGGGACCUGUAGAUGGUUUCACGCAUGGGGAGUGAUGUCAGGUACCAGGAGGAAGUGCUGACCCCCACACAUUUGGACCUGCCACGGAGCCCCAUGUCCAGGCACCUGGUAGGUGCUUGGUAAAUGUUAACAUGAACCCAUCCUUUCAGCUAGGUGUGAAACUGAGUAUAGUUAUAGACAUAUGGAUCCCGACAUACAUAUGUAUGUGCAGGUAGAUAGUCUAGUAAAUGAAAAUCAAAUACAAAGGUUAUCUAUUUUUUUCCAUUAUUAUUAUCAAUGUUUUCAAUAAAAAUUGAGAGCCUACCAUAUUAAUUGCUUUCCUCUUAAAUUGUAAGAAUAAUUUGAUAGGAGGGGAGAACAGUAAACAAGCCAAACAGUCUCACAUUUGUGUGAUUAUGAGAGAGGUGAGGUGGGACUAUGAGUGGGGGCUUUG
rnacentral:lncRNA from 1 species